UCCAGGUUCAAGCGAUUCCCCUGCCUCAGCCUCCCAGUAGCCGGGACUACAGGCACGCACCACCACGCCUGGCUAAUUUUUUGUAUUUUAGCAGAGAUGGGGUUUCACCAUGUUGGCCAGGAUGGUCUCCUGACCUCGUGAUCUGCCCGCCUGGGCCUCGCAAAGUGCUAGGAUUACAGGCGUGAGCCAUUGCGCCUGGCCUGGCCUUCUUUUUUAACUUUCUCUGAGUAAUCAGAGCCCACUGCCUCUGUCCAAUGUCAGAAAAUCCCCACCCUAUAAUCCUUCUAUCACCUCCCCUCCUCACACCUGGUCUGGCUGACAGUUUUGUUCCACAACUAGCCCUCCCCAACCUGCCCAACAAUUUCCUCUGAAAGAGGUGGCUGGAGCUAAAGGCAUAGUCAAGGUUAAUGCUCCUUUGUGAUUUUGUAACGUUAAAACAGACCCUGAUAAAUUGUAUCAUUUAUAGAUCUGCACCUUGAAUUGUUGCAUAGUUUAACUAAUGUAUCGAUCACAUAAGAAACAAAAUCUGAAGAAAUAUUUUUCAUUAUGCAUAAAGCUAUUGAUAUUAACAGUAGGAUUUUCAUGUCAUUAAUCAUUUAGUACACUGCUGAAAACCAGAAUGAGAAAGGAAAUACUGGGGUUUUGGUAACAGCAGCCUCAGAUGGUUGCUAAAUCUAAAGGCAAAAGCAUUUUGUAUAUUUUAUUUCACAGAGAGAUAAAAAGUAUUUACAUAAAUUUAUAUUUUGUAUACUGCAGACAAUAUGAUCUCACCAUAAAAAAAUACACAAAUCAGAACAGAAAUCAUGUUAUGAAUACAACGGCACUUUUUUCUGCAUUCAAGAAUUCAUACAGUGCAGAACUGUCUGUAAGAUUUUGUCUUCUUUUCAACAUGCACAAAGUCUUUAUUAUUCUAACUAGUAAACUUUAAAAAUUUAUUUUCUGGUUAUAAACAUGUCAUUGAAUAUAGUCAGAUGAUCCCAUUGUUUAAGUAGCUAAUGAGUCCCCCACUACAAGGAACAGUGAAGAUCAUUCAUAUGGUUACUAAUCCAGUAGAGAAUGCCAAGAAUAUUUGAAAUAAAUGCCACUCUUAAUCAAUAGCU
rnacentral:lncRNA from 10 species